rnacentral:rRNA from 1 species
CCCUUAGAUGUUCUGGGCCGCACGCGUGCUACACUGACGCAUACAGCGAGUACUCCCGGCUCCGCAAUGGCAGCUGGUAAUCAUCAAUAUGCGUCGUGAUGGGGAUAGAUCUCUGGAAUUUUUGAUCUUGAACGAGGAAUGCCUAGUAAGCGCAGGUCAUCAGCCUGCGUUGAUUAAGUCCCUGCCCUUUGUACACACCGCCCGUCGCUCCUACCGAUUUCGAGUGGUCCGGUGAACCUUUCGGACCGGGAGCAGCCUCGUGCUGCGCCUGGAAAGUCAAGUAAACCACAUCACUUAGAGGAAGGAGAAGUCGUAACA